GCUGAUUGAAUUCAAGGCCAAAGUCCACGAAACUGGCAGCCAUAGGCAGGCUUCUGCUUCCCUUGGAACAUUUCAUAUCCAGCAUCAGUUUUUUAAUUUGCUUUUCAUUUUUAUUUAUUUAUUUUUUUCCAGUUCUCCAGAUGUUGGUGCAGAGUCCUCCUGGAUGGAUGCUCAACAAGACGAGGCAUUUUUCUCACUUCAGCCACCUGACACCAUGAGUAUACAUUUGCACACUCAUGUAUUUUCUGUUCUACAAGAUCACUAAUCUGCUCACAGUGUAUGCAGUGAUUAUAUGCUGCUAUAUGGGAGAGCAGUCUAUUCCCUUCCCCUCUUGUGUUACAGCUGCAAGUGGAGCUGUUUAUUGAAUGAGAGAACAUGCCUUUUUAAAUGAAAAUGCAGAAUAGGACCUGCAGGUGUCACUCUAGUAUUAGCAAACCAAGAAGAAUAAAGCUACCUCUUGCCAAAUACUUGUACUUUUCGUCAGAGGGAAGAACCGAGAUCAACAUGAUGCUUGUUCUAGCCCCUGGCUUGAGUGUUUAUCAUGAACCAUAACAAUGCGUGUCAGAAUUUUGAAACAUGAAGAGGGUUUGGAAAGCUUUAACACCGAGAGACAAAAGAUUUGAUUAUUUUUCUUGGAAAUAAGCAAUGAGAUAGGAAGAGAUUACUUUGGGGAACAUUUUUUUGUACUAACUUAGAAUUACUUCUCUUCAGAGAAAUUUAAGUGAAAAUACGAAUACCCAAUAAUAUAUUUUAGCUAUUGUACUGUGAAUAGCCUAAGUCUACAAGACCCAAUCUUGGUUAUGAGGCAUGUAAGGCUAUGUUGUAAUACUCAGGUGUGCUGUGCUCCCUAGAGCUGCUCUGUCUAGUGAGCAUUACUUUUAGACUUAGUUAUUCCACUUUCAGCAUCCAUUAUAUGAAAAUUCUGUCUGUUAAGUGACUGCUGCAUGAUUCAACAUUCCAUGGAAUGCUGUAAACAGAUCAUCCUCCUAAAAUGUGAAUUUUGAAGUAGAAUAUAAUGUUUAUGAAAAUAGAGUGUAAACCGUACUGUCAGAAAUAAACAAGGUGAAACACUAGACUUUAAAUAUCUUUAGCUUGAGGAGACAGGAAAUGAAACUACAUUUGCUGUAAUGCAUUGAGUGGGGUAAAAGGGACGGACAUGGAAAAUAGUGUAUGUGAAAGGACUAUUCUUUAUUUCCACAACAUGCUCACUCACUAAUCACAUGAGAUCCACAUGAACUGAGGGCAAUGAAACCAGUUCAUGAGAAAUGUAUAAGUGUGAAAGGCAGAAUUCAAGUGAGGUUUGAACCAACCUGGAUCCUAUCCUGAAGUUCAGAAAAAGGUUCAGUUUUUAAUGCUAGUCAAUGCUCUAGCCAAAUGAGUUUAGUUCUGCUGGCCAAACAGAGGCUGAACUCUUCUAGGAGGGAGUUUUUUCAUGUGACUGAGUAUCUCUAGGAGCAUUUAGUACCUGUUGGAUCAAAAGGAAUUAAUUUUACAAUUUACCUAGAUAAGACUGAUACAGGUUAAUGAUAAGUAGCAAAGUUUUAAAAGUGUUCCAAACAGUAAUCAUUGAGGUGGCUUUAAGUGUGGAUUUCAAGUCUCAAUUUUAGUUGAUUCUGAUGGAGAAUUCAAUUUGGGCUGCUCAUCUUCACGUUGGGUCAGGGCAAUUCCAGAUAUGUGUGCAGUCUGGGAGAAGAAUUCCUUGAAAGCGGCUCUGCAGAGUGUCCUGGUGGACAAAAAUCUGGAUAUGAGCCAUCAGCGUGCUCUUACAGCCUUGAAAGCCCACAGCAUCCUGAGCUCAUCAAAAGAGGAGUGGCCAGCAGGGUGAGGGAGGGGAUUGUUCCACACUCUCUACAGUGCCCUUGUAAGGCUCCAACUGGAGUAUAGUAUCCACGCCUGGAGGACCCAGUAACAGGAAAGAUGAGGAGUGUCUGGAGCAGAUACAGAGGAGGGCCACAAUGACAAUCAGUGGCCUGAAGCACCUCACCUAUGAAGAAAGGUUGAGGGAUUUAGGUUAGUUUUAGCUUGCAGAAGAGAAGACUCCAGCAAGACCUUGUUGCGGCCUUCCUUUAAGGGGAACAUCCAAGUGGGAGGGGGACUGAGUUCUUACAGAGACUGACAGUUAUAAGACAAAGGGGAAUGGCUUUAAACUAAAAGAAGGGAGAUUUAGGUUAGAUGUUAGGAAGAAAUUUUUCACUCAGACAGUGGUGAGGCACUGGAACAAGUUGCCCAGAGAAGUUGUGGAUGUCCUAUCCCUGAAUACAUUCAAGGCCAGGUUGGAUGGAAGCCUGGGCAGCCUGGUCUGGUGGUGGCAACCCUACCCAUAGCAAGGGAACUGGGUGGUCUUUAAGGUCCUCUCCAAGCUAAGCCAGAUUUAUGAUUUCAUGUUGAACAGCAAGGGUCCCAAGACUGAUCCCUGGGAGACACCACUCAUCACUGGCUUCCUAUUGGUCAUAGACCAUAGAGGAUAACCCUCUGACUGUGACCAUCCAACCAGUUGGAUACCUUAUCCACUGAAUAGACUGCCCUUCAAGUCCAUAUCUUUCAAAUUUACAUUUAAGAUUGGAAUUUGGGAUACAUGUCAUAAGGUCCCCAUAGACUUCAGUCUUAUCAGAUAGUCUUGAACUUGUUCUUUUUACAUUGGGCAAAAUUUGCUCUCCUAGUUCCCAUUUAGAGGUUCAGGGACUUUAGAGAUGUGGAAAGUCCAAAUGUCAGUGAAGACUGAGGCAAAGAACUUGUUGAGUACCGUAUCCUUCCCUGUGUCUGUUUAAGUCAAGUCAGACUUUUCACUUAUCAGGGGGCAUGAGAAUGUGUCUUUGCUUUUCAAUUCUGGCUGAUGCACCUAUAGAACUGUUAUUUUUUACAUGCCUCAUCAAAUUCAGUUCCAUCUGUGCCUUAGCCUUUCUGAUCCCAUCUCUGCAUGUCUGAGUGGCAUCCCUGUAUUAUUACCAGGCCAUAUAUUCCUGCUUCCAUUGCCUCUAUUUUUUCUUCUUAGCCCUUAUUUUAACCAGCAGGUCCUUUUUCAACCUAUUAGAUUAGAAAAAUGUUGAAAAUAGGAUCAGACUUCAACAAAAACCAGCGCAAUUCCAAUUUUCUCUAAAACUUCAGCUUUCUAUAUUCUUCUGUGAUGUUUAUAUAUCAUUAAAAUCUAACUUUCUUUCUGAUUGAACUUUCAACUUAGGACUUAGAUAUAAUUUGUGAAGUGUGUAGAAGGAACGUAAUUUUGCUCCAGAUAUAUAAUGUGCUUUCAUAGUCAGGCAAGUUAUUAUAAGAUACAGUCUUCAUUUUCAUGCUGAAGAUGUACACUGUAGGCACUAUCUGUUGUCUGCUUCAGCAGACAGCCUAACAGUGUAACAGUGUCUGGAAUAAAACUUGUCAGGGGAAAAAAAAAGGCUUUUCUAACAGCAACAAUAAAAUUCAAGAAUUCUGACAUACUUUUCUAAAUAAAGUGAAUGUUUUGUUGAAAAUGUAUACAAUGAGAGGUGAAAAGUCAAGAAGUCAUCUCAUUUCUAUAUUUCAAAAAUCAUCCUCUAAAAUCAAGAAAAAUAACUGUUAAAAAUGUUGUGUUUUUCAUUUGUACUGUCUCAUAUGGAGCAGGAGGUACACUACAAACAAUCUAUUAAACACAGUUAAUGAUUUAAUGAGAGCUAAGGUGUGCUGAUUUAAAUGAGUGUGAAUGCAUGUGAUCUUGAAAGCUGCUCACAGCCCAGGGGAUCAGAAGCCCAGAAGAUUCUCAUUUGCAAACUAGGCUGGCCCUGAGGUCUAGGAGGUUUCUAGUAAAGAAAUAUGCCUUGGUCUUAUUUCUCUGAAGAUUUAACAUCUGUGGAGUUGUGACUGUGCAAAGUUGCAUGAAACUGGUAAUUUCCGGUCAGGUGAAACCAGCCAUAGCAGAGAUAGUAAGCGGG
ensembl:lncRNA